ACAGUCAUUUUUGAGAUGGAGACAUCGAAGCCAAGGAAAUUCAUUUCCAGCUUCACGUCUGAAGGUUUGAGUUCACAUUUCAGCACUAACAAUUGUGUAUCUCUAGGGGAACUAUAUGAGGUUUCUGAGCCUCAGUUUCAUUUUCUAUAUAAUGGGUGUAAUAACCAGUGUGUAUUUGUGAUUACUCUCAUCCCUCUGAGUAGAUACAAUCUUUCUGUACAAUA
rnacentral:lncRNA from 1 species